rnacentral:rRNA from 1 species
UACGUAGGGUGCAAGCGUUAAUCGGAAUUACUGGGCGUAAAGCGUGCGCAGGCGGUUUUGUAAGUCUGUCGUGAAAGCCCCGGGCUCAACCUGGGAAUUGCGAUGGAGACUGCAAGGCUUGAAUCUGGCAGAGGGGGGUAGAAUUCCACGUGUAGCAGUGAAAUGCGUAGAGAUGUGGAGGGACACCGAUGGCGAAGGCAGCCCCCUGGGUCAAGAUUGACGCUCAUGCACGAAAGCGUGGGGAGCAA